rnacentral:rRNA from 1 species
GACGUAGGGCGCGAGCGUUGUCCGGAUUUAUUGGGCGUAAAGAGCUCGUAGGCGGCUUGUCGCGUCGUCCGUGAAAACUUGGGGCUCAACCCCAAGCUUGCGGUCGAUACGGGCAGGCUCGAGUUCGGUAGGGGAGACUGGAAUUCCUGGUGUAGCGGUGAAAUGCGCAGAUAUCAGGAGGAACACCGGUGGCGAAGGCGGGUCUCUGGGACGGUACUGACGCUGAGACGCGAAAGCGUGGGGAGCGAACAGG